rnacentral:rRNA from 1 species
GUCUGUUUGAAGUUAUAAAAAGUUUAGCCUGCCCACUGAUAAAUAAAAAUAAUUUGAAUGGCCGCGGUAUUUUGACCGUGCAAAGGUAGCAUAAUCGUUAGUUUUUUAAUUGGAAUCUUGUAUGAAUGGCUGGACAAAAGAAAAUCUGUCUUUAUAUUAUUUAUUGAAUUUAACUUUUAAGUGAAAAGGCUUAAAUACAUUAAAGGGACGAUAAGACCCUAGAAAGCUUAAUAUUAAGAUAUUAUUUAGUUAAUUUUUUUAUAAAAACAUAGUAAUUGAAUU